GAUUAAGUUAUUAAGGGCGCACGGUGGAUGCCUUGGCACUAGAAGCCGAUGAAGGACGUUACUAACGACGAUAUGCUUUGGGGAGCUGUAAGUAAGCUUUGAUCCAGAGAUUUCCGAAUGGGGAAACCCAGCAUGAGUUAUGUCAUGUUAUCGAUAUGUGAAUACAUAGCAUAUCAGAAGGCACACCCGGAGAACUGAAACAUCUUAGUACCCGGAGGAAGAGAAAGAAAAUUCGAUUCCCUUAGUAGCGGCGAGCGAAACGGGAAGAGCCCAAACCAACAAGCUUGCUUGUUGGGGUUGUAGGACACUCUAUACGGAGUUACAAAGGACGACAUUAGACGAAUCAUCUGGAAAGAUGAAUCAAAGAAGGUAAUAAUCCUGUAGUCGAAAAUGUUGUCUCUCUUGAGUGGAUCCUGAGUACGACGGAGCACGUGAAAUUCCGUCGGAAUCUGGGAGGACCAUCUCCUAAGGCUAAAUACUCUCUAGUGACCGAUAGUGAACCAGUACCGUGAGG
rnacentral:rRNA from 1 species